rnacentral:rRNA from 1 species
CCUACGGGAGACAGCAGUGGGGAAUAUUGCACAAUGGGGGAAACCCUGGUGCAGCAACGCCGCGUGAGUGAAGAAGGAUUUCGGGAUGGAAAGCUCUAUCAGCAGGGAAGAAGAUGACGGUACCUGAAUAAGAAGCCCCGGCUAACUACGGGCCAGCAGCCGCGGUAAUACGUAGGGGGCAAGCGUUAUCCGGAUUUACUGGGUGUAAAGGGAGCGCAGACGGCAGUGCAAGUCGGGAGGGAAAGCCCGGGGCCCAACCCCGGAACUGCUCGGGAAACUGUGCGGCUAGAGUACUGGAGGGGCAGGCGGAAUUCCUCGUGUCGCGGUGCACUGCGUAGAUAUUAGGCGGAACCCCAGUGGCGAAGUCGGCCUGCUGGACAGUAACUGACGUUGCGGCUCGAAAGCGUGGGGAGCAAACAGGAUUAGAUACCCCUGUAGUC